GACGAACGCUGGCGGCGUGCUUAACACAUGCGAGUCGAACGGAAAGGCCCUGCUUUUGUGGGGUGCUCGAGUGGCGAACGGGUGAGUAACACGUGAGUAACCUGCCCUUGACUUUGGGAUAACUUCAGGAAACUGGGGCUAAUACCGGAUAGGAGCUCCUGCUGCAUGGAGGGGGUUGGAAAGUUUCGGCGGUUGGGGAUGGACUCGCGGCUUAUCAGCUUGUUGGUGGGGUAGUGGCUUACCAAGGCUUUGACGGGUAGCCGGCCUGAGAGGGUGACCGGCCACAUUGGGACUGAGAUACGGCCCAGACUCCUACGGUAGGCAGCAGUGGGGAAUAUUGCACAAUGGGCGGAAGCCUGAUGCAGCAACGCCGCGUGCGGGAUGACGGCCUUCGGGUUGUAAACCGCUUUCGCCUGUGACGAAGCGUGAGUGACGGUAAUGGGUAAAGAAGCACCGGCUAACUACGUG
rnacentral:rRNA from 1 species